CAUAUGGAGGCAACCCCCGGCAAAAUGUAGAGACUCCCCCUCGUAGAGUGUGGAGACUAUCCCUAGCAUAGUGUGGAGAAUACCCCACCGUAAUGUGGCGACGACAACGCGGAGCCAUCGGGGGCAGAAAUCAGUUGGUCCAAGAACUUGAAAGAAGACAAUUUUACCGGCACCGAGAGGAAGAGUCAAUGAAAUACAGCACCAAAAUGACAAGAUACAAAUCUCUCUGCCAACAUCAGACCAAGGAGAACGAAACAAAAAACUCGGAAUGCUUUUCUAUAAAAGUCUUAUGCCCUACUGGAAA